rnacentral:rRNA from 1 species
GUGGGGAAUAUUGGACAAUGGGCGAAAGCCUGAUCCAGCCAUGCCGCGUGUGUGAAGAAGGUCUUCGGAUUGUAAAGCACUUUAAGUUGGGAGGAAGGGCAGUAAGUUAAUACCUUGCUGUUUUGACGUUACCGACAGAAUAAGCACCGGCUAACUUCGUGCCAGCAGCCGCGGUAAUACGAAGGGUGCAAGCGUUAAUCGGAAUUACUGGGCGUAAAGCGCGCGUAGGUGGUUUUGUAAGUUGGAGGUGAAAUCCCCGGGCUAAACCUGGGAACUGCCUCCAAAACUGCAUGACUAGAGUACGGUAGAGGGUAGUGGAAUUUCCUGUGUAGCGGUGAAAUGCGUAGAUAUAGGAAGGAACACCAGUGGCGAAGGCGACUACCUGGACUGAUACUGACACUGAGGUGCGAAAGCGUGGGGAGCAAACAGGAUUAGAUACCCCUGUAGUCC